rnacentral:rRNA from 1 species
GCCUAAUACAUGCAAGUCGAACGAGAGCGACCGGUGCUUGCACUGGUCAAUCUAGUGGCGAACGGGUGAGUAACACGUGGGUAACCUGCCCAUCAGAGGGGGAUAACAUUCGGAAACGGAUGCUAAAACCGCAUAGGUCUUCGAACCGCAUGGUUUGAAGAGGAAAAGAGGCGCAAGCUUCUGCUGAUGGAUGGACCCGCGGUGCAUUAGCUAGUUGGUGAGGUAACGGCUCACCAAGGCCGUGAUGCAUAGCCGACCUGAGAGGGUGAUCGGCCACAUUGGGACUGAGACACGGCCCAAACUCCUACGGGAGGCAGCAGUAGGGAAUCUUCCGCAAUGGACGCAAGUCUGACGGAGCAACGCCGCGUGAGUGAAGAAGGUUUUCGGAUCGUAAAACUCUGUUGUUAGAGAAGAACAAGUGCUAGAGUAACUGUUAGCGCCUUGACGGUAUCUAACCAGAAAGCCACGGCUAACUACGUGCCAGCAGCCGCGGUAAUACGUAGGUGGCAAGCGUUGUCCGGAUUUAUUGGGCGUAAAGCGAGCGCAGGCGGUUCCUUAAGUCUGAUGUGAAAGCCCCCGGCUCAACCGGGGAGGGUCAUUGGAAACUGGGGAACUUGAGUGCAGAAGAGGAGAGUGGAAUUCCAUGUGUAGCGGUGAAAUGCGUAGAUAUAUGGAGGACACCAGUGGCGAAGGCGA